UACGAAGGGGGGCUAGCGUUGCUCGGAAUUACUGGGCGUAAAGCGCACGUAGGCGGCUUGUUAAGUCAGGGGUGAAAUCCUGGAGCUCAACUCCAGAACUGCCUUUGAUACUGGCGAGCUUGAGUUCGGGAGAGGUGAGUGGAACUGCGAGUGUAGAGGUGAAAUUCGUAGAUAUUCGCAAGAACACCAGUGGCGAAGGCGGCUCACUGGCCCGAUACUGACGCUGAGGUGCGAAAGCGUGGGGGAGCAAACAGG
rnacentral:rRNA from 1 species